GUAAACACAUCCAUUGACGCAAAUUUGAAUAAACAUUUUCAUUAGCAAAAUGUCCAUGAGUCCCCGGAGACAGCCAGUGCCUGAUGGCCGAUGUCCAGAUAUCCAUCCUGGCCAGACAAUCACUUGGCUUCAAUUGGUUUUUGACUUGGCAUUUGAAUUUUGGCCUUCAGUAUUCAGUAUUUCCAUACGAUACCGCCCACAGUGACACUUCAUAGCCAGGCCCAACUAGUAAUUGGCCAUAAUCAUUCGGUAAUGAUCUGGUAGCGGUUCUAAUUGCGGUGUUCCAUUAGGAGUGGCUAAAGGGCAGCGGCCAUUGAACUUUGGCGGCGCUCGUUUCAUGAACCCUCUUUCAAAUAUUGGGAAACGAAAUUUGCAAGUGAUAUCGCUGAAAUCGAUAGUUAUUUACACUAUUACACUACACUAAUUUAUGACGUAAUGUCUGAGUUGUUUUUUGGCGUUUUACAGUACUGUGGACUCUAGCCUCAAAAAGAAAAUGCAAAAGUUUAAUAAACAAAUAAUUAUAGAUGUACUAUCACCAGGUCUUGUGUUCACCCUGGACGUCUCUCUUCCGGACGUCUUUUUGCUGAAACUUUUGAUAUACAGCGCCCACGCCGGACGAUCCGCCACCUAAUAAUGAUGUGAGGGACCGCUUGGUCUAUAGGAAACUAGUUGGGCUCACCCAGACGCUUGAGCCGGACGAUCUGCAGCCUCGGAACGAUUGGUUAGCAGCUUAGGCAGUACUAUGUAUAUGUGGGAGAUGUCGUGGAUGUCCUCAAGCUGCCACCUGAUAUCAUGGAAGUGGACCACGAUCCCUCAACGUAUGGGAGCAUCGUCGACGGUGCCUGUAAGUCCAACAACCGAGCAGCCGAUCACCUUGAGUUACCUGAGACCAUGGACUUAAUGGGAAUGGUAAAUCAAGAAAUCGAACGCCAACUUUGCUGAAACGGACGCAAUCACAUCUUCUCGUUGAAGUCUUUGGUCACCAAAAGGGCAGUGCUACUAGCCGCAUUGGGCAAUAUUGAUUUAGAAAUUAUAAAAUGA